UGAGGAAUUUUGCGCAAUGGGCGCAAUCCUGACGCAGCAACGCCGCGUGGGUGAUGAAGGCCUUCGGGUCGUAAAGCCCUGUCAGGUGGGAAGAAUGUCCCGGGACUGAACAGGUUUUGGGAGUGACGGUACCACCAGAGGAAGCACCGGCUAACUCCGUGCCAGCAGCCGCGGUAAUACGGAGGGUGCAAGCGGUAUUCGGAAUUACUGGGCGUAAAGCGCGUGUAGGCGGUCCUGCAAGUCUGAUGUGAAAGCCCCGGGCUUAACCCGGGAAGUGCAGUGGAAAC
rnacentral:rRNA from 1 species